rnacentral:rRNA from 1 species
AUUGAACGCUGGCGGCAGGCCUAACACAUGCAAGUCGAACGAGUGGCAGACGGGUGUGUAGUGUCUGAGAAACUGCCUGAUGGAGGGGGAUAACUACUGGAAACGAUAUCUAAUCCCGCAUAACAUAAGAUGUCCCCAUUUGGGAUUAGCUAGUGGGUGGGGUAACGGCUCACCAAGGCGACGAUCCCUAGCUGGUCUGAGAGGAAGACCAGCCACACUGGAACUGAGACACGGUCCAGACUCCUACGGGAGGCAGCAGUGGGGAAUAUUGCACAAUGGGCGCAAGCCUGAUGCAGCCAUGCCGCGUGUGUGAAGAAGGCCUUCGGGUUGUAAAGUACUUUCAGCGGGGAGGCGUUACCCGCAGAAGAAGCACCGGCUAACUCCGUGCCAGCAGCCGCGGUAAUAC